rnacentral:lncRNA from 1 species
AAACCUCACUUUGUUUUGAAGAAAUCAAAGGCAGGCACGUCAAGGUUUGGAAAGACUUUCAACUGUGCUUUUCUCUCGCUGUGUCAUGGAAAAAGCAAGCCGGAUUUCUGCUGGAAUUCUGUGAUCUGGGUCUGAAAGUGCCUGUGAGACCCAGAGGAGCUGCUUCCUCCCAGGUGGUGAUGACCCCCCUGCAGAUGAUGCCUGGACGACCACACUUGGGGCUCCACCUCUUUGACCAUCCUAAGGUGAGGCCCAGCUUGCAGGGAACAUGGGCUGGAUGUGCUGACUCUGAUGGGAUGUGCUGACUCUGACCCACCCCUCUGUGUGUGGGUAACCCCAUAAACUUCACAGUCUGGAAGGAACAUGGAUCUGGAGGAGACCCCGGCCCAGGUCCUGGUGAUGAUGUGACUGCUGGAAACAUGUCUCCUAAAGAAGCAGAGAGAGGAAACAAAACCUUUCUUCUGCUCAUCUGCUUUGCUUCCUGGAAAUCUUUUCCAAGCAGCUCUGCCCUUGCUGCAGCCCUGUCUUGGAGGCUUUCCAGCAGCUCUGAGAAGAAGCCUGGUCCAAGGUCAUCAAGACCGAGUUGGAGCUGUGUGACUCUGCUUUCCUUGUUGCCCCAAAAUAGGUGGCACCUCAGCUCGUGGCUGAGCAUCCCUGGUCCAUCGUGUCCUCCUGCCACUGACGCAGACGGGUCCAAGCCGAGCGCGCAGAGGGAGCCCGG